GACGAACGCUUGCGGCGUGCUUAACACAUGCAAGUCGAACGGAAAGGCCCUGCUUUUGUGGGGUGCUCGAGUGGCGAACGGGUGAGUAACACGUGAGUAACCUGCCCUUGACUUCGGGAUAACUUCAGGAAACUGGGGCUAAUACCGGAUAGGAGCUCCUGCUGCAUGGUGGGGGUUGGAAAGUUCCGGCGGUUGGGGAUGGACUCGCGGCUUAUCAGCUUGUUGGUGGGGUAGUGGCUUACCAAGGCUUUGACGGGUAGCCGGCCUGAGAGGGUGACCGGCCACAUUGGGACUGAGAUACGGCCCAGACUCCUACGGGAGGCAGCAGUGGGGAAUAUUGCACAAUGGGCGGAAGCCUGAUGCAGCAACGCCGCGUGCGGGAUGACGGCCUUCGGGUUGUAAACCGCUUUCGCCUGUGACGAAGCGUGAGUGACGGUAAUGGGUAAAGAAGCACCGGCUAACUACGUGCCAGCAGCCGCGGUGAUACGUAGGGUGCGAGCGUUGUCCGGAUUUAUUGGGCGUAAAGGGCUCGUAGGUGGUUGAUCGCGUCGGAAGUGUAAUCUUGGGGCUUAACCCUGAGCGUGCUUUCGAUACGGGUUGACUUGAGGAAGGUAGGGGAGAAUGGAAUUCCUGGUGGAGCGGUGGAAUGCGCAGAUAUCAGGAGGAACACCAGUGGCGAAGGCGGUUCUCUGGGCCUUUCCUGACGCUGAGGAGCGAAAGCGUGGGGAGCGAACAGGCUUAGAUACCCUGGUAGUCCACGCUGUAAACGGUGGGUACUAGGUGUGGGGUCCAUUCCACGGGUUCCGUGCCGUAGCUAACGCUUUAAGUACCCCGCCUGGGGAGUACGGCCGCAAGGCUAAAACUCAAAGGAAUUGACGGGGCCCCGCACAAGCGGCGGAGCAUGCGGAUUAAUUCGAUGCAACGCGUAGAACCUUACCUGGGUUUGACAUGGAUCGGGAGUGCUCAGAGAUGGGUGUGCCUCUUUUGGGGUCGGUUCACAGGUGGUGCAUGGCUGUCGUCAGCUCGUGUCGUGAGAUGUUGGGUUAAGUCCCGCAACGAGCGCAACCCUUGUUCACUGUUGCCAGCACGUUAUGGUGGGGACUCAGUGGAGACCGCCGGGGUCAACUCGGAGGAAGGUGGGGAUGACGUCAGGUCAUCAUGCCCCUUAUGUCCAGGGCUUCACGCAUGCUACAAUGGCUGGUACAGAGAGUGGCGAGCCUGUGAGGGUGAGCGAAUCUCGGAAAGCCGGUCUCAGUUCGGAUUGGGGUCUGCAACUCGACCUCAUGAAGUCGGAGUCGCUAGUAAUCGCAGAUCAGCAACGCUGCGGUGAAUACGUUCCCGGGGCU
rnacentral:rRNA from 1 species